GAUGUCAUCGACUAAAGGUCAGGUCAUGAGAUUUUCAAUCUCAUAAUCCGGGUUCGAGUCCCGGUGGCAUCACCA
rnacentral:tRNA from 1 species